UUGUGCUUUCCAAAGAAAGAAGGGGGGAUGGGCUUCCGUGACCUUCAUUCUUUCAAUUUGGCGAUGUUGGCGAAGGAAUGUUGGAGGCUACUUGAUGAUCCAUAAUCUUUAUGUGCUAGGAUCCUCCGAGCAAAGUACUACCCUUCAGGUGACCUUCUCUCAGCUGGACCAAAAAAAGGUUCUUCCUUUACAUGGCAGAGUAUCUUUGCAGGCAUUCAAACAUUU
rnacentral:rRNA from 1 species